UACGAAGGGGGCUAGCGUUGCUCGGAAUCACUGGGCGUAAAGCGCACGUAGGCGGCUUUUUAAGUCAGAGGUGAAAUCCUGGAGCUCAACUCCAGAACUGCCUUUGAUACUGAGAGUCUUGAGUAUGACAGAGGUGAGUGGAACUGCGAGUGUAGAGGUGAAAUUCGUAGAUAUUCGCAAGAACACCAGUGGCGAAGGCGGCUCACUGGGUCAUUACUGACGCUGAGGCACGAAAGCGUGGGGAGCAAACAGG
rnacentral:rRNA from 1 species